AGACUCCAUGGGGAAAGAGAGCCUUCUGUUGGACACAGAUGGUGGCUCCUGAUUUCUAGGGAGAGCUACACCUCUGUGGGAGGAGGUGAGCAACUCUGCCCUGCCACACUCCUCCACCAAGCUGUUCUGGUCUCGUCCCAGGCUCAGUGUGACAGGGCCGAGCCACCACCGUUGAAACCGUGCUGGGAUUACAAGCAUGCAUCACCAAGCCUGGUUUAUACGGUGCUGGGGAUGGAGCCCAGGACUUGGUGCAAGCUAGGGGAGCACUCUGCCAACUGAGCCACGUCAGUGAUCCCAGUGCCAUGUAGCAGUGUCCUUGGAGAUUGAAACAUGCCAUCCUGCAAGGAAGUCCCUUAAAUGGGAAGGUAAAUUCAGAAUUACUUCAGGAAGUCCCUGGAACUGACCAGAUUUAUUAGGCCUCUGUCUUACAGAGAAAGCAAUAUAAACAAACUUUCAGACAGGCCAAACUGCAAAGAAGACCCUGAGAUCAGACCAGUUUCCUGGAAGAUACGAAAACCAGAUGCCUAGAAGAGGUUUAAACCAGUUAAGUCACUUAGAAAAAAGCACUUUUCAACUUGUUGAGCUGCCUGCACUCUGUGCAGUGUGCUCCAGGUUUCCAGAUGUUGUGAGCUGUCUCCCACCCUGGAAUGAACUUUGGUGAUGCUGCUGUCCUUGAGUCAUUUUUGGUCCUGUAAGUAGC